rnacentral:rRNA from 1 species
GCCAGACUCCUGGAGGCAGCAGUGGGGCAUAUUGCACAAUGGGCGCAAGCCUGCUGCAGCCAUGCCGCGUUUAUGAAGACGGCCUUCGGGUUGUCCCUUCCUUUCAGCGGUUCUGAAGGCGAUCCGGUUAAUAACCUUUUCUAUUGACGUUCCCCUCAGAAGACGCCCCUGCUAACUCCUUUCCAGCAGCCUCUUCACUACGGAGUGUGCCCGCGUUAAUCGGAAUUACUGGGCGUAAAGCGCACGCAGGCGGUCGGUCAAGUCGGAGGUGAAAUCCCCGGGCGCAACCUGGGAACUGCAUUCGAAACUGGCAGGCUGGAGUCUUGUAGAGGGGGGUAGAAUUCCAGGUGUAGCGGUGAAAUGCGUAGAGAUCGGGAGGAAUACCGGUGGCGAAGGCGGCCCCCUGGACAAAGACUGACGCUCAGGUGCGAAAGCGUGGGGAGCAAACAGGAUUAGAUACCCUUGUAG